rnacentral:rRNA from 1 species
UACGUAGGGGGCAAGCGUUAUCCGGAUUUACUGGGUGUAAAGGGAGCGUAGGUGGCAUGGUAAGCCAGAAGUGAAAACCCGGGGCUCAACCCUGCGGAUUGCUUUUGGAACUAUCAGGCUGGAGUGCUGGAGGGGUAAGCGGAAUUCCUAGUGUAGCGGUGAAAUGCGUAGAUAUUAGGAGGAACACCGGUGGCGAAGGCGGCUUACUGGACAGAAACUGACACUGAGGCUCGAAAGCGUGGGGAGCAAACAGG